rnacentral:rRNA from 1 species
CUCUACGUAGCUCCUUCGACGAGUCGAGUUGUUUGGGAAUGCAGCUCUAAAUGGGAGGUAAAUUUCUUCUAAAGCUAAAUACCGGCCAGAGACCGAUAGCGCACAAGUAGAGUGAUCGAAAGAUGAAAAGCACUUUGGAAAGAGAGUUAAACAGCACGUGAAAUUGUUGAAAGGGAAGCGCUUGCAACCAGACUUGUCCGCGGUGUUCCGCCGGUCUUCUGACCGGUCUACUCGCCGCGGGCAGGCCAUCAUCGUCUGGGGCCGCCGGAGAAACCGUCAGGAAUGUAGCUCCCUCGGGAGUGUUAUAGCCUGGCGACAUGCGGCGCGCCCCGGGCGAGGUCCGCGCACUGCAAGGAUGAUGGCGUAAUGGUUGUCAGCGGCCCGUCUUGAAACACGGACCAAGGAGUCUAACAUCUAUGCGAGUGUUCGGGUGUCAAACCCCUACGCGUAAUGAAAGUGAACGGAGGUGGGAGCUUCGGCGCACCAUCGACCGAUCCUGAUGUCCUCGGAUGGAUUUGAGUAAGAGCAUAGCUGUUGGGACCCGA